rnacentral:misc_RNA from 1 species
AUUGUUUCUAGUGUCCUAUACACACGCACAACCUCUCUAAAGGAAAAAACUCAAAUUAUAAUUAGUUGACAAGACUUGAGAAGUUGAUUUGGGGACUGCCCAUUUGAUGAUCUUGGUGUGGACAAGCUAGAUGGACAACAUUUGGGGUCCUAGGUGCUUUCUAAAGAUGCCAAUCACAUCCAUAUUGCAUCAAAGAGGUUAGUGUUCUAACUUUUCUUUUAAACUAGGGUUUAAAUGA